UACGAAGGGGGCUAGCGUUGCUCGGAAUCACUGGGCGUAAAGGGUGCGUAGGCGGGUUUUUAAGUCAGAGGUGAAAUCCUGGAGCUCAACUCCAGAACUGCCUUUGAUACUGAAAGUCUUGAGUACGGGAGAGGUGAGUGGAACUGCGAGUGUAGAGGUGAAAUUCGUAGAUAUUCGCAAGAACACCAGUGGCGAAGGCGGCUCACUGGCCCGUAACUGACGCUGAGGCACGAAAGCGUGGGGAGCAAACAGG
rnacentral:rRNA from 1 species